GAUCACAGGGCAUAGAGAUGCACCGCUGCACACAUAGAUCUUGAUGAGAGUAAUUAGGCCCAUUGGCUCAGGCCUAAUCUAUUAGGACUCUAGCUAGGAGAGUCCUAAUUGAGAGGGACAUUCAUGUAAAACCUACCUAAGCCAACCCUUAUUAAAGAGAUGAAGAGGCCGACUAGGGUUAGGAGAUUGUUUCUUAGAGAAGAAUUAGGAGUUGUAAAGGAAUAUGAGUCUUG
rnacentral:lncRNA from 1 species